rnacentral:rRNA from 1 species
AAAUUGAAGAGUUUGAUCAUGGCUCAGAUUGAACGCUGGCGGCAGGCCUAACACAUGCAAGUCGAACGGUAACAGGAAGCAGCUUGCUGCUUUGCUGACGAGUGGCGGACGGGUGAGUAAUGUCUGGGAAACUGCCUGAUGGAGGGGGAUAACUACUGGAAACGGUGGCUAAUACCGCAUAAUGUCGCAAGACCAAAGAGGGGGACCUUCGGGCCUCUUGCCAUCAGAUGUGCCCAGAUGGGAUUAGCUUGUUGGUGAGGUAACGGCUCACCAAGGCGACGAUCCCUAGCUGGUCUGAGAGGAUGACCAGCCACACUGGAACUGAGACACGGUCCAGACUCCUACGGGAGGCAGCAGUGGGGAAUAUUGCACAAUGGGCGCAAGCCUGAUGCAGCCAUGCCGCGUGUAUGAAGAAGGCCUUCGGGUUGUAAAGUACUUUCAG